rnacentral:lncRNA from 1 species
GAACGUGUGUUCUCAUGCUGACCGUGAAACUGAAGUCAUACACCUGGGCAGCUGCUGGGCCCACAUGUGCUAGGUUCUGCGGGGUCUGGUCAGAUCUGGGAGGCCUAGCUUGGAGGCGGCUUUCCUAGGCCACCCCAGGCAAAGAAGAGCUGCUUCAGGGUCCCCAACCUGCGCCACCCGCUCAGGGCUCCCCCCACCAGGUGAGCUGGACCCUGGGGGUCUCCACAGACACCUCAGCUAGUCCUGACCUGCUGGCCAGACGCCCACCAGCCCUGCCUUCCAGAGGGCCCCGCUACAUCGUCUUCAUACCCCAGGGCCUCCCAGCCGCCCCACCUGCAGGGCUGCUAGAACUUUCUCCCGAGACAAAGCCUGCCAUUGUGCCUCCCUGGAGCCCGUCUCUGCAGUGGGGGGCAGGGUGUGUUGAGCGUCCCGGGUCCAGUGUCUCCGGCGUGUCCUGCAUCUCGGCAGCCAGCUCCUCUGCAGCUCAGGCCCCGUGAGUCACAGCCGCUUCCUCAAAUGCUUUGGCUGACCGCAUCCCCCCGCUCCGCCAGAACCCUGGAUGCCGGAGCCCUCCCAGCGAGAGCCGUGUUUAUUUUACUUUACAUACAUUUUCCAACCCGGAGCGGCUUCAACACAUGCAGCUCUUAGGCCCGGGCCGCACAUCUCAGAAGCCCCGUGUGCGACUUUGACUGCCGCACGAUCCUCUGCCGGGGGAGGUGGGCCCGCUGCGCUUUGGGAGCACCCGCGCCCGACACUGAGGUCUCGGUGCUGUCUUCGGCCUCUUCGCCCCUGAGGGUCCCCUCUGGGAGCAGAGGCGGUCGGAAAACCCUGGGGCUGAAGUGCAGGCUUCGGGAGGACGCGACCUGCCAAGAUCAGCUCCCGGCACGUGAUGGGAGCCUGGCUCACCUUCCCCCAGCACACGAUGGGGCUGCAGCCUCCCCGGUCAGCCUGGCCUGCUGGAAAGGAGCAGCUCUGUCUCCAGAGGCUUCUGGCGAAGCCCAUGGCCUCCCAAUGUUGGCUGAUUUAUAAGGAAAGAGGGGAAAGGCCAAGUGUGGAUGCCAUUAGCAUAACCUAAUCCAGACCCCAUGACAAGUCCAGGAUCCUGCAGGGAGAGGGCAUCCUUGAACGUGAAGGACUGGGUUUGGAAACUUGGCCUCCCGGAAGAAAGGUCUCCGGGCCCACCCACACCCCCCUUGUGGACGCCCCCGCAGUCUAAUACACUCCACAGUAAGACGGACCAGGAACAGCAGCAGCCUCCGGUGUCGGCCCAGUGAUCCGGGAGCUCAGAGUUUUUGCUAAAAUAGCCUUCUCAUUGGCUGCGGCUUUGGAGGUGGCAGAAAUCAUACGUUUAAUCACGGCGCCCUCCUGCUUGCCAAGCUUUGCGUCCUCCAGAAUUGUCCUGUGAGUGACUCCCGCAGGAUGGAGACUUUUGUGUCUGGCUUCCUUCACUUCGCAGCAGGCUUCGCGGGACCCGUGUGGUGGCACCAGCGUCCAGCCCUUGGUACUGCUGAGUUGUAGGUUGUGGGACAGGUGGAGGUACCACAGUUGCUCACGGGUUCACCUGUGGAUGGGCAUGUGGGCUGUUGUGAGUGAAGCCACUUCAGACGUUUGCGUGCAGGUUUGGUGGGGACGUGCAGUUUCAUUUCUUUUGAGAGUGGGAUUGCUGGAGCCUAUGUUAAGGGUACGUUCAACUCAUCAGCUCAACUGUCUUCCAAAUGGCAGCCCCGUUUUCCACCCCCGCCAGCAACGCCCGCGACUCCAGGCGCGCUGCAUUUUCAUCAGCACCUGGCAGUGGUGAUUCAUAAUGCUUUAAAUGUUAAUUUCCCUCAUGACUAGUGAUGUUAAACAUCUUAUUAAACAUCUUAGGUAUUAUUUCAUGUGUUAUUUCAAAUCUUUUACCUACUUUUUAGUGGAUUAUAUUUGUCUUCUUAGUAUUGAGUUCUAAGAGUUAAAUAUUGUGGGUACAAGUCCUCUAUCAGAAAUGUGUUUUGUAAAUACUUUCUUCUAGUCUGUGGUUUGUCUCUUCGUUUUCUUAAGUAUGUCUUUAAAGAGCAGAGGCUUUUGAUUUGGAUAAAGUUCAGCUUGUCAGUUUUUUCUUUUAGGGUUAUGUUUUUGUAUCCUAUCUAAGAAUCUUUGACUAUCAAAUUCUCACAAAGCAGUUUUUUGUUUUCUUCUAGAUGUUUUACGGUUUUAAAUUUUACCUUUAGGUCUACAACCAUUGUGAUUUAGAUUUUGUAUUUAAUGUAAGGUAUAAGUUGAGAUUCAUUUCUCUCUGUUUUUGGAGACUUAUGUCCAGCUAUUCCAGAACCAUUUGUUGGAAAGAGUAUCUUUAUCCCAACAAGUUAUGUGGGCACUUUGUUGAAAAAGAUCUAUUGACCAUAUAUACAUGCGUUUAUUUCCAAGACUCUAUUUUGUUCUGUUGACCGAC